UAGCUCUCAGUGGUAGAGCUAUCGGCUGUUAACCGAUCGGUCGUAGGUUCGAAUCCUAGU
rnacentral:tRNA from 1 species